rnacentral:rRNA from 1 species
AGAGUUUGAUCCUGGCUCAGAACAAACGCUGGCGGCGUGCAUAACACAUGCAAGUCUAACGGGAAUGUCGGCUUCGGCUGACUAGUACCGUGGCGAACGGGUGAGUAACACGUGGGUAAUCUAACCUCGAGUUUGGGAUAACCUUGCGAAAGCGGGGCUAAUACCGAAUAAGACCACGCUUGGUUCGCCAAGUGCGGUAAAAGGCGGCCUCUUCUUGAAAGCUGUCACUUGAGGAUGAGCCCGCGGCCUAUUAGCUAGUUGGUGGGGUAAUGGCCUACCAAGGCGACGAUGGGUAGCCGGCCUGAGAGGGUGUACGGCCACACUGGCACUGAGAUACGGGCCAGACUCCUACGGGAGGCAGCAGUGGGGAAUUUUGCGCAAUGGGGGAAACCCUGACGCAGCAACGCCGCGUGAGUGAUGAAGGCCUUCGGGUCGUAAAGCUCUUUUAGUGGGGAAGAAUCCCACCCGGGCUAAUACCUCGGGUGUCUGACGGUACCCACAGAAAAAGUUCCGGCUAACUACGUGCCAGCAGCCGCGGUAAUACGUAGGGAGCAAGCGUUGUUCGGAAUUAUUGGGCGUAAAGAGCGCGUAGGCGGUUCGGUAAGUCUGACGUGAAAUCCCAGAGCUUAACUCUGGAACUGCGUUGGAUACUGCCGAGCUUGAGUGUGGGAGAGGAGAGUGGAAUUCCCAGUGUAGAGGUGAAAUUCGUAGAUAUUGGGAGGAACACCCGUGGCGAAGGCGGCUCUCUGGACCACAACUGACGCUGAGGCGCGAAAGCUAGGGUAGCAAACGGGAUUAGAUACCCCGGUAGUCCUAGCCGUAAACGAUGGGCACUAGGUGUUGGAGGUAUCGACCCCUCCAGUGCCGCAGCUAACGCAUUAAGUGCCCCGCCUGGGGAGUACGGUCGCAAGACUAAAACUCAAAGGAAUUG